CAGUAGCGUAUAUUAAAGUUGUUGCGGUUAAAAAGCUCGUAGUCGGAUUUCAGUUUGCUGAUGCUUAAACCCUCGGUUUUUGCGUUGGCUUACUUCAUGACAGAAACUUCCAUGCCAUUUAUUUGGUGUGUUUUGGGACUGUCUCAUUUACUUUGAGAAAAUUAGAGUGUUCAAAGCAGGUAUAAUUAGCCUGAAUAUUACUCUUGGAAUAAUAAUAUAGGACUCCAGUUCUAGUUUGUUUGGUGAUCUGGGACCGGGAGUAAUGAUUGAUAGGGACGAGUUGGGGUCGAUUCAUACUGCAAAGCGAGAGGUGAAAUUCUUGGACCUUUGUUAUGAUGAACAACUGCGAAAGCAUUUGACUAGGAUGUUCCCGUUGAUCAAGAACGAAAGUUGGGGGAGUCGAAGACGAUCAGAUACCAU
rnacentral:rRNA from 1 species